rnacentral:misc_RNA from 1 species
GAUGAAGAACGUAGCGAAAUGCGAUAAGUAGUGUGAAUUGCGGAAUUCAGUGAAUCAUCGAAUCUUUGAACGCACAUUGCGCCCCUUGGUAUUCCAUGGGGCAUGCCUGUUCGAGCGUCAUUUGUACCUUCAAGCUUUGCUUGGUGUUGGGUGUUUGUCCUGAGGGACUCGCCUUAAAGUAAUUGGCAGCCAGUGUUUGGUUUUGAAGCGCAGCACAAGUCGCGAUUCAAAGCUAUACGCCCGCUUCCACAAGCCUUUUUCACUUUUGACCUCGGAUCAGGUAGGGAUACCCGCUGAACUUAAGCAUAUCAAUAAGCGGAGGA